rnacentral:lncRNA from 1 species
UUUGUUGCUAUUGAAGCAGGAGUGCAGAACAGAUACUUCCGUCAAUGCACACCUGACUGAAUCACCUGAACGUCCACCCAAUCACACAACCUAAUUAAUAUUCAUGAGCCAAGCAUUGCGCUUAUUCGCCAACUGCCUAUCGCUCACGUACAAGCGUCUGCCGUUCAGCCAAUCAGAUAGUCCGACUGGGCGAACGUCAGGUUGCGUAAUUAAUAUUCAUGACACAAACCCUUGCAGCUCUUUGCUGAAAACACAGCUCUUACACAAGCGUCGAUAAGAGAGUUUAAUAACUAGUUCAUCAUGGACUUCGAUCUGAGCGCAGGUAAACUGCUGCAAAGCUGAUUUAGCUUUUUAUUUUUUAAUUAAAUCAAGAAACACUAUAGUUGAAUGUAAACGAAUGCGGUUUUUGUUCACUCUCUCUGCUUUUCCAGCUGUUGGAGAUGAUCAGGUGAAGAAGUCGGAGGGCAAACAGGUGGAAGGUAUCUUUGGGUUUGGAAAGAAGGAUAAAGACAAAGAAAAGGGCAAGGAAAAGAGCAAAGACAAGAGUGAUUCUAAGCAUAAGGAUGAACACAAGAAGCACAAAGAUAAAGAACAUAAAGACAAAGGCAAGAAGAAGAAGAAAGACAAGGAACACAAGAAGAAGGGCGGUGGCAAGUCCUCCUCUUCCUCCAGCGAUUCGGACUGAAGCAAGAUUCAUCAGAUACCUCCAGAAACAUAAUGUAAAAAUCUUUUAUUGUAUGAUUUAUAUGACAAUCUCUUGAAGUUUUCAUCAAGUUAUUGAGCUGUGAUUCCAAACUUCCUCAAGGUGGCGCUACCUACAUGUCAAAUCUUCAGUGAAACACUGGAAUAAAGAGACUUGUCUGCUAUUUUUGUAAAACUGUUUGCUGGUUUAAUAAAUUCUGAUGUUUGAAAUAGUUUUAUCCAUUUAGUCUCAUACUGGCUUUCAGUGGUUGCUGGUUAGUGGGCUAUUAGUGUUUUGAUAAAUCUUGGCCGGUUUGACGUACACACAAGUCAUAUUUGAUCAAUGUAUGUGUGUAACAAUCAAAUUAAGGCAUUCAGCACAAAUGAAUUGAUAUGUAUUGUCAAAACAAGGCUUCGUGUAGUAACUUGGUUAAUUCACCAUGACAAAAGUCAGUAGUCAACACGACAGUAUCUUUGUCUAAACAGCACGCUUCUGCAAAUGCAUGGUUGAUUUGGAAGGUUUCAGCACGAUCUGUUUGCUUAUUCAUCUACGUUUGAGUACGGCACAGAUAAUUCAUCUGAACAGCAGGACGAAACGCAGGCUGCUUCCAAACACUGUUUUGGACGCUCUUUGCUGGGCUGAAGACAACUGCAUGCCAGAGAUAAGAGAACCGGGCGAUGGUUGCCCAGAGGCGGAAGAGAGGGAGAUGUCUCUCUGUCCAUCAGACUGAGACAGUCUUUCUCUCUUAUUCGGUGCCAAACGCCUGCAGGAUAGAUGCAAAGCACAGUGUAGCAUUUUUUUUCCCAGCACCACCCCGUCGAGCUUUCACAUGCAUAUUUCAUCAAACACACUGAAGAUGCUGAAAGUUGAAUCCGGGGGAAAGUUGGCUUGUUUCGGCCGUUUGAGAUGUCCGGGUCAGAGAUCUGAACAUCUGCUGCUCUGCACGUUUCUCACAGAAGAGGGGUGUAAAUGCAGAGGCGUUUGUUUCAGAGGUUACUUAGCUGGAGUUUGAGGACAAAUUGCUGCCAAAAGUAACUAAAUCGGACAAAGGUUAGUGGGCUAUUAGUGUUUUGAUAAAUCUUGGCCGGUUUGACGUACACACACAAGUCAUAUUUGAUCAAUGUAUGUGUGUAACAAUCAAAUUAAGGCAUUCAGCACAAAUGAAUUGAUAUGUAUUGUCAAAACAAGGCUUCGUGUAGUAACUUGGUUAAUUCACCAUGACAAAAGUCAGUAGUCAACACGACAGUAUCUUUGUCUAAACAGCACGCUUCUGCAAAUGCAUGGUUGAUUUGGAAGGUUUCAGCACGAUCUGUUUGCUUAUUCAUCUACGUUUGAGUACGGCACAGAUAAUUCAUCUGAACAGCAGGACGAAACGCAGGCUGCUUCCAAACACUGUUUUGGACGCUCUUUGCUGGGCUGAAGACAACUGCAUGCCAGAGAUAAGAGAACCGGGCGAUGGUUGCCCAGAGGC